CCGGGGAGCCGGGCAGCCGCGGGCCUUCGGGUCCGAGGAAAGUCCGGGCUCCACGAAACAAGGGUGGCGGGUAACGCCCGCCCGGUGAAGUUUUCGGACGAAGCCGAGGGAAAGUGCCACAGAGAGUAGACCGCCAAUGGCUCCUUCGGGAGGCAGGCAAGGGUGAAAGGGUGCGGCAAGAGCGCACCGGGGUUCCGGCAACGGCGCCCGUCAUGGCAAACCCCACCCGGAGCAAGACCGCGUAGGGGUCUCGCGCCCUCAAGGGGCAGUGGCGUUUCGCCGCGAGAGACCCGGGUUGGUCGCUGGAGCGCGUGGAGCAAUCCACCGCCUAGACGAAUGGCUGCCCCCGCGGCGCUGAUAGGUUCUAUAUCGGUCGCGGGACAGAACCCGGCUUACAGGCUCCCCGGCAUU
rnacentral:RNase_P_RNA from 1 species